rnacentral:ncRNA from 10 species
ACGUUGCAUGAAGAGAGGGCAGACGCCCCGCCAACCUGCCUGACACGGCAAGGUGGUUUCCUUGAAAAAGGCAUGAGACCAUAGUGUAAACACAGUGUCCAUG